rnacentral:rRNA from 1 species
CCUACGGGUGGCAGCAGUGGGGAAUAUUUGGCAAUGGACGCAAGUCUGACCCAGCAACGCCGCGUGAAGGAAGACAGCUUUCGGGUUGUCAACUUCUUUUAAGGGGGAAGAGCAGAAGACGGUACCCCUUGAAUAAGCCACGGCUAACUACGUGCCAGCAGCCUCGGUAAUACGUAGGUGGCAAGCGUUUUCCGGAUUUACUGGGUGUAAAGGGCGUGCAGCCGGAGAGACAAGUCAGCUGUGAAAUCCACGGGCUCAACCCGUGAACUGCAUUUGAAACUGUUUCCCUUGAGUGUCGGAGAGGUAUUCGGAAUGACUUGUGUAGCGGUGAAAUGCGGAGAUAUAAGGAAGAACACCAGUAGCGAAGGCGGAUUACUGGACGAUAACUGACGGUGAGGCGCGAAAGCGUGGGGAGCGAACAGGAUUAGAUACCCUUGUAGUC